UCAAGCAAUCUCGGGCUUGGUUAGUACUUGGAUGGGUGACCGCUUGGGAAUACCAAGUGUGAUAAGCA
rfam:Ciona savignyi cont_62301, whole genome shotgun sequence.